rnacentral:rRNA from 1 species
AGAUUGAACGCUGGCGGCAGGCCUAACACAUGCAAGUCGAGCGGCAGCACGGGUACUUGUACCUGGUGGCGAGCGGCGGACGGGUGAGUAAUACAUCGGAACGUGCCCAAUCGUGGGGGAUAACGCAGCGAAAGCUGUGCUAAUACCGCAUAAGAUCUACGGAUGAAAGCAGGGGAUCGCAAGACCUUGCGCGAAUGGAGCGGCCGAUGGCAGAUUAGGUAGUUGGUGAAGG